AUGGACGUCGUUCUUCUCAGCUGCUUCGACUGCGGUUUAUGUCUACUUAUACUCGAUCUAUUACUACUACGUAAAGACAAAGAUGUUUGGGUUUUUCCAGACCAGUUUCUACUUCGGAUACACCUUGAUGUUCUGUCUUGGCCUCGGAAUCCUUUGCGGUUAGUUAUCUUUUCACUCUCUCGUUCUUAUAUGAAGAUAACGCGGCAUGUGUUGCUCAAACGAAGGAAGGAUAUAUCAAAAGCGAUAGAACCAAACAUAUACCUCCGAAGUUCUUCUCAUACACUCAAGAGCUCGAGAAGAAUAAAGAGAUCGAAGUAAAAUAUGUUCGAUCAUGCGACAAUGCAGCCGACCUUUUCAUAAAAUCACUACCUACCUCGGUAUUCACAAAACACAUCCAUAACAUUGGAAUGCGUCAUCAGAAGGAUCUAUGACUGCUUAUUCGAGGGGGAGCUUAUGUGGUUGUACUCUUUUUACCUUACUAUAGUUUUUUCCAUUGGGUUUUACGAGAAAAGUUUUUAACGAGGCAACAAAGACGUUGAGCGAGAGCGGAUAGUGACACCGGUCCACAAGGGGGAGUGUUACGAAAGUCAAAAAAAGGAGGAGCCGUAAUGUUUGAAAAUAUAAAAAAAUGUGGGGCCUAUUGUAUUAUUUGCACAGUAAAUUUCUUUCUAUAUAUACGAACGUUUUUCGUUCAUUGUAAUGCAUCCAUCAACCUUCUCUUCUUUCUAUAAUAAACUCUUUCUAUCAGUGUUAAAAAUGCUACGGAUAUAAAUUUUGCUAUUCAAAUUUCCGCUAUACAUAUUCCAGUUCUUUUUAUAACAUAUCCCAAUUUUUCGAAUCGAAGAAUAAAUUUUACGAAAACGAAAAUAAAACUGGUAACACAUCUCUCUCUCUCUCUCCAUCACCGCGCCCUCAGAUCUGAGCCUCUGCCGGGUUCCGAUAUGGCGUCCUCCUCCGCCGUCCCUUCCCUCUUAUCCAUCGUCGCAUGCGUCUUACUUCUUCUCUCUCCAGCUUCGGCCUCCGAGUCAGAUCACAAGGUUAGAUUUGAAUCUCUGCCGUCUUUCUUUCUUAGCUUGUAGCUCGAUUCGAGCUCGAUCUCGCUGCUGCAUGUUUGUUUUUUGGCUUGGAUCUGUUGUGGAGGCAGGAGCCAGCUGGUUCUACACUGUGUUGUUUUAGCAGUAGCAUUAUGGAUUAGGUUGAUAUGAAAUGGUUUUGUUUUGGUGAUGAUCAUUGUUCUCUGGUGUGAUUGUUUGUUCAAUUCGACAAGUGAGACCAGAGAGUGGAGUGUGCUCCUUCAGUUCCUUGUUAGGUUUAGCUUUUUUUUAUGUUAAUUAGAUCUAAUAGAGAGAGAACUAAGCGUCAAAUGUUCCUAUAUUAAUCUAUGCUGUGAUUUCCUGAUCACAUAUCUAAGUUUUGGAUUUAAAAAGAGAAUGCUAUGGUUUCUUGUUAUAGUUUUAAAUUUAGAGAUCUGGAUAUGCAAAGGUGGUUGGUUGCAUUGCGUCUUUCCCUUUGAGAUUUUUUUUACUCUUAGCAUAAAUAUUUAGUUCAACUCUUAACUGCAGUUUCCAUAUUUUUUCUGAUUGAUGUGACUUUUUGAUUAAGCAGGUCAAGCAGUUAACAUUGGGAAUCUUGUUGUCUAUUGUCUAAUAACAAGGCAAUAUAGUCUUGUUAAAUAACAACAGUCUUAUAUAUUCUGAGGAAAUGAUUGUGUUGCAGUGACAAGUUUUGCAAUGGUUUCCCUUUUAGUUUUUUCUUGGUGUCUUCGCUCUUUUGUAUCCGCAUUUUAUGCCGAUUUACCCACUAUUUUUUCCCAACUUAUAAGAUGUUGCACUACAAGAUCUCCAAUAUAUGUUUACGCUUGAUAUUUGACUCUUUAUUCUUUCUGGGUUUUGAUUUACUCCUCUUCUUUGAUCCGUUAUGUUUUUUCCAUGUGCAAGUGAUGAAAUUUGGUCUUCUGCUUUCUUUUUUCCAGUAUCAAGCUAAUGAGCAGGUUACUCUGUGGGUGAACAAAGUUGGCCCAUAUAAUAAUCCUCAAGAAACGUACAACUACUAUAGCCUCCCGUUUUGCCGCAAAAAUGAAAACAGCAUUCACAAAUGGGGUGGUCUUGGUGAGGUUCUUGGUGGAAAUGAGCUCAUCGACAGCCAGAUAGACAUAAAGUUCUUGAGUACGUUAGUCUUUAUGCUAGUUUCUUAUUUAAAAAAUUUCGCUUUGUUGGGCAACAGUUAUAUUGACUUCGUCGUUUUUACUCCCAGAAAAUGUUGACAGAAGCGUGAUCUGUCAUUUGGAACUUGAUGAAGCUAAGGUCAAGCAUUUCAAAGAUGCCAUCGAAAAUAGCUACUGGUUUGAAUUAUUUAUGGGUAUGUAUCACAUUUACUUGUACAUUCUACUGAUUAAUAAAUGUCAUAGGAAAAAAUUGAUUCGCUCAUUGUAGAAGAUUUUCUGUUUGUUAUAUUUGAAAUUGAAAGUCUUCUUAACUUAUCAAAGGAACUUAACUUGGUGUGCAAUGAGCUAAUGCUACAAUAUCACCACAUAUCCAUUAUUCUUACCUCAGUGUAAGUCAAACUUUUAGCGUCCUUAGUUUGCUAAUAUUUUGUCUUGUUUUUUUUGUAACAAAUGAUGUUUAUGGCGUACGUGGAUGCAAGUUCAGAUGAUCUGCCUCUGUGGGGUAUGAUAUUUUCUUAUAUUCACUUUGAACAAUCAAAAUUUCAAUUUUAGUUCUUGACAUAAACUUUUAACUGUCUCAUUCUUGUUAUAGGCUUUGUGGGCGAGUUGGCACCUGGAAAAAAUGGUGAAAACGGCAAGCAUGUUCUUUAUACUCAUAAGAGUAUUAAUGUCAAAUACAACAAAGACCAGGUGGGUUGUUUCUUUGCCACUAAGCAGUAUUAAUGAUCUCAUAUGAAUUUUUCUGUGAUCUGAUUUUUUUUGUUAUUUGCAUAGAUUAUUCAUGUGAAUCUCACACAAGACAACCCAAUGCCGUUAGAAGCAGGGAGGACGGUUGAUUUGACAUAUUCUGUGAAUUGGAUCCCAACCGACAUCACAUUUGCUCGUCGUUUUGAUGUUUAUCUAGACUAUCCUUUCUUCGAACACCAGGUAAAUCAUAGCAUGUUAUGUCUUACUGUUUUCAUCCUUCUGCUAUCAGACAUUAUUUCAUUCGCUUCAUAAUUAGAUACCUAUUACACUUAAUGCUCCGUUAAUGGAUUCAUUAAUGAUGCAGAUCCAUUGGUUCUCCAUCUUUAACUCGUUCAUGAUGGUUAUCUUCCUCACUGGUUUGGUCUCAAUGAUAUUAAUGAGGACUCUCAGAAAUGAUUAUGCUAAAUAUGCUCGAGAAGACGACGACCUUGAGAGCCUGGUGAUUUUCCUCAAUCUAUUAUCUAGAAUAAUAUCUGCAGAAGUUCUCUUAGUGUUACGACGAUGUUGUCAAUUUUGUCUUCAUCGUUAGCGCAAGAGUGUGGAGCAACUUCUGACAGUUGGUAUGCAUUGAUAACAGGAACGGGAUGUAAAUGAGGAAUCUGGAUGGAAACUCGUGCACGGAGAUGUGUUCCGACCACCACGUGGUCUGGUUCUUCUCUCAGCUGUUGUUGGUACGGGUGCACAGUUGGCUUUGCUUGUUCUUCUUGUCAUACUAAUGGCAAUCAUUGGGACACUUUAUGUUGGGUAUGUAUUACACUCCUACUUUCAAUCAACUUCUCAUGUUGUUAUUUCUCACGGAGUAAGUGAUUAGCUUUUGUCUGAAAAUCAUUCUGGUUUAACCUUGUUCAGGAGAGGAGCGAUCGUCACAACUUUCAUAGUUUGCUACGCUCUGACGUCAUUUAUCUCUGGUUAUGUGAGCGGUGGAAUGUAUUCAAGAAGUGGGGGUAUGUUGUUUCCAUCUUUGUUGAAAACAGCAAGCAAACUCUCCAAUAACACACCUUCCUUCGACUCAUUCUCAAAUUUCUCUUCGUACUUCUUUUUGUUCAGGUAAACAUUGGAUCAAGUGCAUGAUCCUCACGGCUUCUCUCUUCCCAUUCUUGUGCUUUGGGAUUGGAUUCAUCCUAAACACAAUCGCUAUAUUCUACGGUUCUCUUGCCGCUAUUCCCUUUGGAACGAUGGUGGUUGUGUUCGUUAUUUGGGGCUUCAUCUCAUUCCCUCUCGCCCUCCUUGGGACAGUCGUUGGUAGAAACUGGAGCGGUGCUCCUAACAAUCCAUGCCGUGUGAAGACAAUCCCACGUCCAAUCCCUGAGAAAAAGUGGUACUUGACUCCAUCAGUAGUCUCUCUUAUGGGAGGUCUCUUACCCUUUGGCAGCAUCUUCAUCGAAAUGUACUUUGUCUUCACAUCCUUCUGGAACUACAAGGUAAAAAGAUCUCUUACACAGCUUACAACUUCAGUUAGAAAGAGCAAAACUCACCGUACAUUUCUUGGCAGGUAUACUACGUGUACGGAUUCAUGCUGCUUGUCUUUUUGAUUCUUGUUGUGGUGACGGUCUGUGUGACGAUCGUGGGAACAUACUUUUUACUGAAUGCGGAAAACUAUCACUGGCAAUGGACGUCGUUCUUCUCAGCUGCUUCGACUGCGGUUUAUGUCUACUUAUACUCGAUCUAUUACUACUACGUAAAGACAAAGAUGUUUGGGUUUUUCCAGACCAGUUUCUACUUCGGAUACACCUUGAUGUUCUGUCUUGGCCUCGGAAUCCUUUGCGGUUAGUUAUCUUUUCACUCUCUCGUUCUCACUUUCAAAACUGGCAUUUGGUUUGGUCUGAAGAUUGGUUGGUAAUUGAAUGUGCAGG
rnacentral:lncRNA from 1 species